UAACGCGUGAGCAACCUGCCCUGUACCGGGGGAUAACACCGGGAAACCGGUGCUAAUACCGCAUGAAGCCUAUCAGCUGCAUAGCCAAUAGGUUAAAGCGAAUAAGCGGUAUAGGAUGGACCCGCGUCCCAUUAGCUAGUUGGUGAGGUAGAGGCUCACCAAGGCGACGAUGGGUAGCCGGCCUGAGAGGGUGACCGGCCACACUGGGACUGAGACACGGCCCAGACUCUACGGGA
rnacentral:rRNA from 1 species